AGUGCGAGGGAGGCUGUUGUCCGCGGUGGUGCUCAGGCCAGAAGAUCCAACAAAAAAAUGGCUUGGAACCCUGACACAUUUGUUAACAAAUUGCAUAUAUUGCUUUAUCCUCAAUUCAAGACAGUUAUGCCGAAUUGAAUCUGAAUUGAUUUUUUUUACAUUUGAAAGCUUGCAUGGAUGUCAGUGCUAUAAUACAAGAAACAGGACUGUAUUGCAAGAGAGAAGGAAUUCUUCCAACUAUUCUUAAGCUCUGUCAGUGUAAUUUAAAUUGCUUUUUGCUGGGCUGUGUGUGGCUGUUGUGUUGAACAUUUUAAACUUUCUUCCAAGUUGCCUAUUUUUAAAAAUCAAAUUAAAACAAAAGUUUUAUUAGAAUGGAAGUGUAUUCAGCAGUAGUAUCUGAUCUACUGGUAAAGUCAUAGCAGGGAGGCUUGUUUUAAGUUCACAUUAUUUGCUAUGAUGGAAAAAUAAAAUGUUUCUAGUGUUUA